rnacentral:rRNA from 1 species
UACGGAGGGUGCAAGCGUUAGUCGGAAUUACUGGGCGUAAAGCGCACGCAGGCGGUUGGUUAAGUUAGAUGUGAAAUCCCCGGGCUUAACCUGGGAAUUGCAUUUAAAACUGGUCGGCUAGAGUAUUGUAGAGGGGGGUAGAAUUCCAGGUGUAGCGGUGAAAUGCGUAGAGAUCUGGAGGAAUACCGGUGGCGAAGGCGGCCCCCUGGACAAAGACUGACGCUCAGGUGCGAAAGCGUGGGGAGCAAACAGG